UCGUAUAACAGGGAUGCCUAGGGCUGUCGCUGACUUUCACCGGUCGUGCACGCCUAAAGGUGCUCUCUCAUGUCCAUCUCACCCCUUUGUGCAUCACCGCGUGUGCUUCCCUGUUGGGCUUGUUCCGAGGGGGGGUUCACGUUUUUAUACAGACACCAUUUUUUAAAAGCAUGUGUAGAAUGCCUUACUUUUUUGCAAUUAUGUGCAAUCAAUA
rnacentral:misc_RNA from 1 species